CGGCGAACGGGUGAGUAACACGUGGGCAACCUGCCCUUAGCUCUGGGAUAAGCCCGAGAAAUCGGGUCUAAUACCGGAUACGACACGGGACGGCAUCAUCACCGUGUGGAAAGAAUUUUGGCUAAGGAUGGGCCCGCGGCCUAUCAGCUUGUUGGUGAGGUAAUGGCUCACCAAGGCGACGACGGGUAACCGGCCUGAGAGGGCGACCGGUCACACUGGGACUGAGACACGGCCCAG
rnacentral:rRNA from 1 species